GCGUCUGUUUCAACUCCCAGCCUGACAGAAUUUGUGUGUUUUGUUUUUGUUUUUUUGUGUGUGUAACCACGUCUACACAGUGGCUGCCAAGGCUUACCCAUGAGUUAAACCUUCUUUAGUUGGUAAUGAGGAAGGCGUGGGUUCUAGCAGUGGACACCCAAAGGCAGCAGUGGGUGAAAACAAGCAAAAUAAAGAAAAGUUUGGCUGUGAGAAGGUGCUAGACAGCCAGCCAUAGUGACGAGGAGACAGGAAGGUAGCACCACCACCAUCACCACCACAGGGAAGAAGGUCGCGCCUCAAGCACAAGUUUUGAUACAGCCCACAGUAGUAUAGCAGUGGAUUCAGGUCCCAGUGGUGUGAUACUUGACACAGCACCCCUAAGCUCCUAACCCCAAGAAAAUUCACAGGCAAGUCCUCUGAGGAAACGCUAUCAGAUGGAAGGCCUUGCCUCUGGCUACCAAGGAAUAGGACUGAUCCUCUUGCACCUGAUAUGUUAGAAAUGCAGGAGAUAAGGAACAUUGUAGGGGUGUGUAGUGUCCCUGUCAACCUCAGUGACUACAAUUACAGAGGCAGUUUCCGCAUCUCAAUGUCUUUCCCGUCUCAGGCCACUGUUAUGUGCUAACAGCACUUGUAUUUUCAUAUCUCAAUCUCCUAUUUCCUUUCUCAGGCCACUGUCAUGUGCUAGUAUCACCUGUGGUUCCUCAUCUCAAUCUCUGGGUUCUUCAGUGUUUAUGUUGUGGGGUUGUGUACUGGAGAAAAGGUGCUUGCUGAUUCAGGUUACAAAAUCUUAUGGGGUCCCAAAAAGGUUAACUUUACAAAUAAAACUGGCACAAGGAA